CUAAAAUGUGGGAAAUUACAUAAUUUACGAUCCUUUCAGUUCAGGUCAUUAUUUCCAAAUUAAUUUGGCACACAUGACUGUAUCAAAUAAAUUAAUUCAAGCGAAACAGUAUUACAUAUAUAUAUAUAUACAGAAAACACUGAUACGAGAGCUAACAAUCAAUCAAAAACCAAGAUGAAGUUCACAGCUAUUUUCAUCUGCGUUGUCAUGUUCGCUACGGCAUUUGUGACCGUUACUGGCCAAGAUCUUCAAUUGACCAACUGCGUUUCAGACGAAGACUGCAGAGAUCAAUGUCAACAGGUUUGUGACCCCAAAAGGAUUGAUGGCGUAUGUACCAAAACAAGGCAAACCGAUACAUACGGAUAUUGUUACUGUACAAUUAAUUAAUUACUGUGUAAUUGUCAAUAAAGAAUCACGAUAUUA